GAAGUGGUGCCAGGAGACACAGAAGUUCAGCUGUUUACAUUGAACCCAGUCACAAAGCAGAGAGCAAAUAGCCAAGUUGUGCUUGGCUCUAAAACUUCAUGGUCAACCCUCAAGUGACUAAAUUAGUCUAGGGGUCUCCACCUCAUGAACAUUCAGAUCUCUCCCCAAUUUUGAAGUUGGAAUGAAUACAUUUUUUUCAUUAUGGUUUGACUAUAAGUCUAUGGGGGUGUCUUAGUCAGGGUUUCUAUUCCUGCACAAAACAUCAUGACCAAGAAGUAAGUUGGGGAGGAAAGGGUUUAUUCAGCUUACACUUCCACAUUGCUGUUUAUCACCAAAGGAAGUCAGGACUGGAACUCAAGCAGGUCAGGAAGCAGGAGCUGAUGCAGACGCCAUGGAGGGAUGUUACUUACUGGCUUGCUUCCCCUGGCUUGCUCAGCUUGCUUUCUUAUAGAACCCAAGACUACCAGCCCAGGGACAGCAUCCACAAGGGGCCCUCCCCACCUUGAUCACUAAUUAAGAAAAUGCCUGGGCUGGAGAGAUGGCUCAGCCGUUAAAGGCUAGGCUCACAACCAAAAAUAUAAGAAAAUGCCUUACAGCUGGAUUUCAUGGAGGCAUUUUCUCAAGGGAGGCUCCUUUCUCUGUGAUAACUUCAGCUUAUGUCAAGUUGACACCCAAAACUAGCCAGUACAGGGGACCAGGAGGUAGAAUAUUGUGGUUUGAAUCGGAAUGCCUCCCAUA
rnacentral:lncRNA from 1 species